AUACGGAGGAUCCGAGCGUUAUCCGGAUUUAUUGGGUUUAAAGGGUGCGCAGGCGGCCAUUUAAGUCAGCGGUUAAAUCGUGGGGCUCAACCCCAUCCUGCCGUUGAUACUGGGUGGCUUGAUUGCGGUCGAGGUUGGCGGAAUUCGUUGUGUAGCGGUGAAAUGCAUAGAUAUGACGAAGAACACCGAUUGCGUAGGCAGCUGACCAGGCCGCAAAUGACGCUCAUGCACGAAAGUGCGGGGAUCGAACAUGAUUAGAUACCCUGGUAGUCCGCACAGUAAACGAUGAAUACUUGUUUUCGGCGAUAUAAUGUCGGAGGCAAAGCGAAAGCGAUAAGUAUUCCACCUGGGGAGUACGCCGGCAACGGUGAAACUCAAAGGAAUUGACGGGG
rnacentral:rRNA from 1 species